AACGGCUCAUUAAAUCAGUUAUCGUUUAUUUGAUAGUACCUUUACCUACUUGGAUAACCGUGGUAAUUCUAGAGCUAAUACAUGCUAAAAGUCCCGACCUCCGGAAGGGACGUAUUUAUUAKAUAAAAAACCAAUGCCCUUCUGGGCUUCUUGGUGAUUCAUGAUAACUUUACGAAUCGCAUGGCCUUGUGCCGGCGAUGGUUCAUUCAAAUUUCUGCCCUAUCAACUUUCGAUGGUAGGAUAGUGGCCUACCAUGGUUUCAACGGGUAACGGGGAAUUAGGGUUCGAUUCCGGAGAGGGAGCCUGAGAAACGGCUACCACAUCCAAGGAAGGCAGCAGGCGCGCAAAUUACCCAAUCCCGACACGGGGAGGUAGUGACAAGAAAUACUGAUACAGGGCCCAUCUGGGUCUUGUAAUUGGAAUGAGUACAAUUUAAAGCCUUUAACGAGGAACAAUUGGAGGGCAAGUCUGGUGCCAGCAGCCGCGGUAAUUCCAGCUCCAAUAGCGUAUAUUAAAGUUGUUGCAGUUAAAAAGCUCGUAGUUGAACUUUGGGUCUGGGUGACCGGUCCCCCGACUGGGUGUGCACUGGAAACCCGGAUCUUUCCUUCUGGAGAACCUCAUGCCCUUCACUGGGUGUGUUGGGGAACUAGGACUUUUACUUUGAAAAAAUUAGAGUGUUCAAAGCAGGCUUUUGCUCGAAUACAUUAGCAUGGAAUAAUAAAAUAGGACGUGCGGUUCUAUUUUGUUGGUUUCUAGGACCGCCGUAAUGAUUAAUAGGGAUAGUCGGGGGCAUCCGUAUUCGAUUGUCAGAGGUGAAAUUCUUGGAUUUUUCGAAGACGAACUACUGCGAAAGCAUUUGCCAAGGAUGUUUUCAUUAAUCAGGAACGAAAGUUGAGGGAUCGAAGACGAUCAGAUACCGUCGUAGUCUCAACCAUAAACUAUGCCGACUAGGAAUCGGGCGAUGUUUUCAAUUUGACUCGCUCGGCACCUUACGAGAAAUCAAAGUUUUUGGGUUCUGGGGGGAGUAUGGUCGCAAGGCUGAAACUUAAAGGAAUUGACGGAAGGGCACCACCAGGAGUGGAGCCUGCGGCUUAAUUUGACUCAACACGGGGAAACUCACCAGGUCCAGACACAUUAAGGAUUGACAGAUUGAGAGCUCUUUCUUGAUUAUGUGGGUGGUGGUGCAUGGCCGUUCUUAGUUGGUGGAGUGAUUUGUCUGCUUAAUUGCGAUAACGAACGAGACCUUAACCUGCUAAAUAGCUGGGCUCGCUUCUGCGCAGAUUCUGGCU
rnacentral:rRNA from 1 species